CCUUUUCCAGGGCCCCCCUGGUCCUCGUGGAGAUGAUGGGGCUCCUGGUACUCCAGGACCCCAGGGAGAGCGUGGCCCCCGUGGUUUCACAGGUGCAGAUGGUGACCCUGGCGAUAAGGGUGACGCAGGAGCUCCAGGUCCUCAAGGACCCACAGGCCCACUAGGAUCACCGGGAACACGAGGAGAUAGAGGCGCUCCUGGGGAAAGAGGAACACCUGGUACUCCGGUAGGUGGAUGCCCGGUCAACAU